rnacentral:rRNA from 1 species
GACGAACGCUGGCGGCGUGCUUAACACAUGCAAGUCGAACGGUGAAGCGCCUUCCUUUUUGGUGGGUGUGGAUGAGUGGCGAACGGGUGAGUAACACGUGAGUAACCUGCCCCCUUCUUCUGGAUAACCGCAUGAAAGUGUGGCUAAUACGGGAUAUUCUGGGUCUGUCGCAUGAUGGGUCUGGGAAAGAUAUUGUUUCGGUGGGGGAUGGGCUCGCGGCCUAUCAGCUUGUUGGUGGGGUGAUGGCCUACCAAGGCGGUGACGGGUAGCCGGCCUGAGAGGGUGGACGGUCACACGGGGACUGAGACACGGCCCAGACUCCUACGGGAGGCAGCAGGGGGGAAUAUUGCACAAUGGGCGCAAGCCUGAUGCAGCGACGCCGCGUGAGGGAUGGAGGCCUGCGGGUUGCGAACCUCUUUCGCCAGUGAAGCAGGCCUGCCUCGUUUGUGGGUGGGUUGACGGUAGCUGGAUAAGAAGCGCCGGCUAACUACGUG